rnacentral:rRNA from 1 species
AGUGAACGCUGGCGGUAGGCCUAACACAUGCAAGUCGAACGGCAGCACAGUAAGAGCUUGCUCUUACGGGUGGCGAGUGGCGGACGGGUGAGGAAUACAUCGGAAUCUACUUUUUCGUGGGGGAUAACGUAGGGAAACUUACGCUAAUGCCGCAUACGACCUACGGGUGAAAGCAGGGGAUCUUCGGACCUUUCGCGAUUGAAUGAGCCGAUGUCGGAUUAGCUAGUUGGCGGGGUAAAGGCCCACCAAGUCGACGAUCCGUAGAUGGUGUGAGAGGAUGAUAAGCCACACUGGAACUGAGACACGGUCCAGACUACUACGGGAGGCAGCAGUGGGGAAUAUUGGACAAUGGGCGCAAGCCUGAUCCAGCCAUACCGCGUGGGUGAAGAAGGCCUUCGGGUUGUAAAGCCCUUUUGUUGGGAAAGAAAAGCAGCAGGUUAAUACCCCGCUGUUCUGACGGUACCCAAAGAAUAAGCACCGGCUAACUUCGUG